CAAUAGCGUAUAUUAAAGUUGUUGCAGUUAAAAAGCUCGUAGUUGAAUUUCUGUCAGGAGCGACCGGGCCUUUGGAUGAACUUCCAUUGUUUUUUGCUCUGUUUGUCGUCUCUAGACAUCCUAAAUUACAUUUCUUGUAAUUUUCUUUUACUGUUAGCAAAAUAGAGUGUUCCAAGCAAAGCGUAGUUUUGAAUACAUUAGAAUGGAAUAAUAAGAUAGGACUUUGGUGCUAUUUUGUUGGUUUGCACACCAAGGUAAUGAUUAAUAGGGACAGUUGGGGGUAUUCGUAUUUAAUUGUCAGAGGUGAAAUUCUUGGAUUUAUGAAAGACGAACUACUGCGAAAGCAUUUACCAAGGAUGUUUNCAUUA
rnacentral:rRNA from 1 species